rnacentral:rRNA from 1 species
AUGAAUCCGGAGUAUGACUAUCUCUUUAAGCUUCUGCUUAUCGGAGACUCAGGUGUUGGCAAGUCAUGCCUUCUCUUAAGAUUUGCCGAUGACUCAUACCUGGAGAGUUAUAUCAGUACUAUUGGUGUUGAUUUCAAAAUACGUACCGUGGAGCAAGAUGGAAAGACUAUGAAGCUGCAAAUCUGGGACACUGCUGGGCAAGAACGCUUCAGAACUAUUACUAGCAGCUACUAUCGAGGGGCUCACGGGAUCAUUAUUGUCUAUGACGUGACAGACCAGGACAGCUUCAACAAUGUGAAGCAGUGGUUGAACGAGAUUGAUCGCUAUGCUAGUGAGAAUGUUAACAAGCUUCUUGUAGGGAACAAAUCUGAUCUCACUGACAAAAGAGUUGUAUCAUAUGAGACAGCGAAGGCAUUUGCUGAUGAGAUUGGCAUCCCAUUCAUGGAGACCAGUGCAAAGAAUGCCUUGAACGUUGAGCAGGCUUUCAUGGCUAUGUCUGCUUCAAUCAAGGACAGGAUGGCGAGCCAGCCAGCCGCAAACAGCGCUCGCCCAGCCACGGUGCAGAUACGCGGGCAACCUGUCGAACAGAAGACGAGCUGCUGCUCUUCUUGA